CCUACGGGAGGCAGCAGUGGGGCAUAUUGGACAAUGGGCGAAACCCUUAUCCAGCGACGCCGCGUGAGUGAAGAAGGUUUUCGGAUUUUAAACCUCUGUCAGUGGGGACGAUACUGACGGUACCCACGGAGGAAGCCACGGCUAACUACGUGCCAGCAGCCGCGGUAAUACGUAGGGGGCAAGCGUUGUCCGGAAUUACUGGGGGUAAAGGGAGAGUAGGCUGGAUGUCAAGUCAGAAGUGAAAAUUCUGGGCUCAACUCAACACCUGCUUUUGAAACUGAUAUUAUUGAGUGAAGUAGAGGCAAGCGGAAGUCGGAGUGUAGCGGUGAAAUGCGUAGAUAUUAGGAGGAACACUAGUGGCGAAGGCGGCUUGCUGGGCUGUUACUGACGCUGAGGCUCGAAAGCGUGGGGAGCAAACAGGAUUAGAUACCCCUGUAGUC
rnacentral:rRNA from 1 species